AUCUAAUACCAAAACCACCAGUGGCUUCAUCAAAUUCAUCAGAUACAUCACCGUGUAAGUUAUUUUCGCUGUUUUACUAAAAAAAAAUCAUAAAAGUCUUUCCAAAGCAUACAAUUGAGUAAUUUGAUAGAAUAUUGUUUUUGAACGAACUAUUAGUAAGAUUUUUUAAGAAACAAACGACGUUAGCGACACCAGCCGCGCAAUCGCCGA